AGCAGCCGCGGUAAUUCCAGCUCCAAUAGCGUAUAUUAAAGUUGUUGCAGUUAAAAGCUCGUAGUUGAAUUUCGGGAUCAAUGCGUCGGUCGUGCCUUCGGUACGUACUAACGUCAUUGAUUCCUCCCUUCUGACGAACCGUGAUGUCAUUAAUUUGGUGUUACGGGGAAUCAGGACUGUUACCUUGAAAAAUUAGAGUGUUUAAAGCAGGCCAAAGCUUGAAUACAUUAGCAUGGAAUAAUGAAAUAGGACGUUUGAUUCUAUUUUGUUGGUUUCUAGGAUCGACGUAAUGAUUAAUAGGGAUAGUUGGGGGCAUUAGUAUUCAAUUGUCAGAGGUGAAAUUCUUGGAUUUAUUGAAGACUAACUACUGCGAAAGCAUUUGCCAAGGAUGUU
rnacentral:rRNA from 1 species